AGCAAAACCAAGUUGCAAAAUGUAGGCUGGUUGAAAAGGCCAAUUUCAACAUGAGAAAAAUGAUGAAAAGAUACCUCCAGAAAAAUGAAGAAAAGAUAUCUUCAGAAAAAAUACAUUAUGUAUGAUAACAAGUCAUUUAUUUCUAAACAGGUGCUGUCUUCGGUCAAAAAGACUGAAGAGGUCACUUUUCUGCUCAGACUUCCUUCUGUGAACAUUUAACCAAGGAACCAACUUCUCUGCGCAUUCCACAGGGCAGCAGAAAUAGAGGGACAAUAAAACCACAGCUAAGUGCAUCAUAUUUAUCAUGUAAUAUCUCUGAUCCUUUCCUGGAACUGGGAAAAGAAGACCCUGGUGGAACAUUGCACUCAUAAAACAACAACAAAAAAGAAGAAACAAUUAUGAAACAGGAAUAUUUGAAGACACGCCUGCCUUAUUCCUUUCCUUUCAAGCCUUGCUCUUGGGUGACAGUUAUUGAAGCAGGAGCUCAAUUGUUCUGGUCCAUCUUUCUUAGAGAUGGAAAGCCUAAUCUGUCGCCAAGACCCAUUAUCCUUCGACUUGAGGUCAGACAGUACAUCUUGCUUAUUGAAUCAGGGAAUAGUGCGUGUUUUAUGAAGACAGAAAGGAAAAGAUAA
rnacentral:lncRNA from 1 species